AUACGUAGGGGACGAGCGUUGUCCGGAAUUACUGGGCGUAAAGGGCGCGCAGGCGGAUAUUUAAGUCAGCUGUACACGGCAUGAGCUCAACUCAUGUAUGCGGUUGAAACUGGGUAUCUAGAGUGCUGGAGCGGUAGGCGGAAUUCCCGGUGUAGCGGGGAAAUGCGUAGAUAUCGGGAAGAACACCAGUGGCGAAGGCGGCUUACUGGCCAGCAACUGACGCUGAGGCGCGAAAGCCAGGGGAGCGAACGGGAUUAGAUACCCCGGUAGUCCUGGCCGUAAACGAUGAAUGCUAGGUGUGGGUGUCGAGAGGCAUCCGUGCCGGAGUUAACGCGAUAAGCAUUCCGCCUGAGGAGUACGAUCGCAAGAUUGAAACUCAAAGGAAUUGACGGGG
rnacentral:rRNA from 1 species